GGGCUGUUAGCUCAGCUGGUAGAGCGCUUCCAUGGCAUGGAAGAGGUCGCAAGUUCAAGUCUUGUACAGUCCA
rnacentral:tRNA from 1 species